UUUCUGCAAGGUGCUGCAUGGUUGUCGUCAGCUCGUGCCGUGAGGUGUCGGGUUAAGUCCCAUAACGAGCGCAACCCUUAUCGUUAGUUGCCAGCUGGUAAAGCAGGGGACUCUAGCGAAACUGCCACCGUAAGGUGAGAGGAAGGUGGGAUGACGUCAAAUCAGCACGGCCCUUAUGUCCAGGGCUACACACGUGUUACAAUGGUCGGUACAGAGGGCAGCUACCUGGUGACAGGAUGCUAAUCUCGAAAACCGGUCUCAGUUCGGAUCGAAGUCUGCAACUCGACUUCGUGAAGCUGGAUUCGCUAGUAAUCGCGCAUCAGCUAUGGCGCGGUGAAUACGUUCCCGGGCCUU
rnacentral:rRNA from 1 species